GUUCACCUGCUCAGUGUGUGGGAAGGGAUUCUCUCAGUCAUCUGAACUGAAGGUACAUCAGCGAGUUCACACUGGGGAGAGGCCAUUCACCUGCUCAGUCUGUGGGAAGGGAUUCAUUAAAUCAUCUCACCUACUGAGACACCAGUCAAUUCACACUGGCGAGCGGCCGUUCACCUGCUCAGACUGUGGGAAGGGAUUCACUUGCUCAUCGAAACUGAAGAUUCUUGAAGGGGAACAAUGUGUCUUUGAGGAGUGGGAAGUACUUGUCUGAACCUAGUGAUAAAGGCAACGGGAAAGGAAAGAUGCAACAGGAAGGAUCUGAUGAAAUGCCAUUGUGGGCUGAAGAUAUGGCUUGGAAACAGUUCACUUAAAGACUAACUUGAAAAGAAUAGUAAUGAAAUGAUGUCAUUUCUUGGAAAACUUAAGGACCUGUAAGCACAAGUCACUACACACAAAGAGGAAUUGAAGAUAAUUAAGCAAAAAUUGCUUGGAAGUAAAAUAAAGUAAGACUCGUUUGGAAAGAUAUCGAAAUAAGAUUAUAGACCUGGAAACUAGGUCUCGCCGAAGGAAUAUACAAAUUGUUGGGCUGCAAGAAGGAGUUGAAAAUGGAGUUUUAACUGCUUACAUUGGUAAGCUUUUUCAUACCUUAUUUCCUUCUAUAUUAUCACAGCCGCCAACUACAGAAAAAACACACAGAACACUUCGAGAUCUCAAGAUCCAAAUAAACCAAGGGCUGUUCUGGUUUGUUCUCAAUAUUUUAAGAUUGAAGGUCAAAUAAUGUGACAGGCAAGAAAACAGAGUUUUUAGAUUUGAGACAUCUGAGCUAGGUUUUUAUGAAGAUUUUUCUAAGGAGGUAAUGGAACAAAGAUUAAAAUUUACUCUGGUAAUGAAACAGGGAUAUGAUAAGAAAUUGUUUCCUUCCUUGCGUAACCCAAUGAGGAUUAAAGUUCUUCCUCCUAAUUCUCCUCCUCGUACAUUUUGUGAUCCUAAAGUUGCACUGGCAUUUGUUUAAACUACACCUGCUGCGACUGCCGAUUGAACUGUCUGGCACAUUAUCUGCAUAAUAGCAUUUCGGAAAGAAGAUUUAUGAAGGCUACUUGGACACUUCAUUGAGAGAUUAUUAAAAGAAGAUUAGGGGACUUGUUUAUUACUGCAGAUCAUUGUUUUUUUCGCUUUCAGUUUGUCUUUCGAAUUUGAUGAUGCAAUCCUUGCCCACCCACCUUGGCGCCUGUCUCAGACAUCAUUGCAGAAUUCAGACUUUGUUCGCUUCAUUGAAAACCAGUUUUCACGGAGGACAAGACAAGGUUGUCUAUUAAGUCCUUUGUUAUUUAACUUAAAACUAGAAUCCCUUGGUAUCACUCUUCGUGAAGCUAAAGAUCUUCAUGGGAUUCUUGUGAAUGAGAUUUCUCUACGCUGACGAUUUUCUGGUUUAUAUAUCUAAUCCCAAAGAA